CACGUAGGGCGCAAGCGUUGUCCGGAAUUAUUGGGCGUAAAGAGCUCGUAGGCGGUCUGUUGCGUCCGCUGUGAAAACUCGGGGCUUAACCCCGAGCCUGCAGUGGAUACGGGCAGACUUGAGGUAUGCAGGGGAGAAUGGAAUUCCUGGUGUAGCGGUGAAAUGCGCAGAUAUCAGGAGGAACACCGGUGGCGAAGGCGGUUCUCUGGGCAUUACCUGACGCUGAGGAGCGAAAGUGUGGGGAGCGAACAGG
rnacentral:rRNA from 1 species